rnacentral:rRNA from 1 species
UACGGAGGGUGCGAGCGUUUGUCCGGAAUCACUGGGCGUAAAGGGCGCGUAGGUGGCACGGGUAGUCGUCGGUGAAAGCUCAGGGCUCAACCCUGAGUCGGCCGGUGAUACUCCCGAGCUCGAGUGUGGUAGAGGCCAAUGGAAUUCCGGGUGUAGCGGUGGAAUGCGUAGAGAUCCGGAAGAACACCGGUGGCGAAGGCGGUUCUCUGGGCAUUACCUGACGCUGAGAAGCGAAAGCAUGGGGGAGCGAACAGG